UCGGGGUAAAAUAGUGAGUAGCCGACAUGGGGAAGUGAUCAACCCUUGAGAUAAGUUUAAAUCUGUUUUUUUUACUCCAUAAACAUUUUAACGUGGGUAAAAAUAUUUGUCUUGGGGUAUAAAAAAAAACCAGAUUUAAAUUUAACUGAAGGGUUGAUGGUGUAUUUUCUCCAUGAAGGCUGCUCACUAUUUUACCCCAA
rnacentral:pre_miRNA from 1 species